rnacentral:sRNA from 1 species
CUGCGUUAGCGACUGCAAUGGAAAUCCUUUUUUGCUUCGCCCUUUUGGCGAAGUAAAAAAGAUUGAAAUGAAAGGCGCGCCCGCCU